GGAUCCAGACUUUGAUCAUGGCUCAGGAUGAACGCUAGCUACAGGCUUAACACAUGCAAGUCGAGGGGAAACGAUAGAGAAAGCUUGCUUUUUCUAGGCGUCGACCGGCGCACGGGUGAGUAACGCGUAUCCAACCUGCCCAUCACUUGGGGAUAACCUUGCGAAAGUAAGACUAAUACCCAAUGACGUCUCUAGAAGACAUCUGAAAGAGAUUAAAGAUUUAUCGGUGAUGGAUGGGGAUGCGUCUGAUUAGCUUGUUGGCGGGGUAACGGCCCACCAAGGCGACGAUCAGUAGGGGUUCUGAGAGGAAGGUCCCCCACAUUGGAACUGAGACACGGUCCAAACUCCUACGGGAGGCAGCAGUGAGGAAUAUUGGUCAAUGGGCGAGAGCCUGAACCAGCCAAGUAGCGUGCAGGAUGACGGCCCUAUGGGUUGUAAACUGCUUUUAUAAGGGAAUAAAGUGGGAGUCGUGACUCCUUUUGCAUGUACCUUAUGAAUAAGGACCGGCUAAUUCCGUGCCAGCAGCCGCGGUAAUACGGAAGGUCCGGGCGUUAUCCGGAUUUAUUGGGUUUAAAGGGAGCGUAGGCCGGAGAUUAAGCGGGUUGUGAAAUGUAGACGCUCAACGUCUGCACUGCAGCGCGAACUGGUUUCCUUGAGUACGCACAAAGUGGGCGGAAUUCGUGGUGUAGCGGUGAAAUGCUUAGAUAUCACGAAGAACUCCGAUUGCGAAGGCAGCUCACUGGAGCGCAACUGACGCUGAAGCUCGAAAGUGCGGGUAUCGAACAGGAUUAGAUACCCUGGUAGUCCGCACGGUAAACGAUGGAUGCCCGCUGUUGGUCUGAAUAGGUCAGCGGCCAAGCGAAAGCAUUAAGCAUCCCACCUGGGGAGUACGCCGGCAACGGUGCAACUCAAAGGAAUUGACGG
rnacentral:rRNA from 1 species